rnacentral:piRNA from 1 species
UGAGAAGUGUGGCCCAUCACCUCCUGC